GUGAAUCAUCGAAUUUUUGAACGCAUAUUGCACUCUCUGGUAUUCCGGAGAGUAUGCCUAUUUGAGGGUCAUUUGAAAUAAUAUAAAUUCCAAGAUUUCUCGGAAUUUAAAAUGGGUUGUCCAUUUUUUGUGGUCGCCUAAAAUCCAAGACAAGCUCAUUUUCUUGGGUUGCGUGUUCUUUUCAGUUACUCCGUACUUUAACAAGGAAUAACCGGC
rnacentral:misc_RNA from 1 species